UAGCAAUACGGGAGCGGCAGACGGGAGAGUAACACGUGGGAACGCGCCCUUCGGUUCGGAAUAACUCAGGGAAACUUGAGCUAAUACCGGAUACGCCCUUACGGGGAAAGAUUUAUUGCCGAAGGAACGGCCCGCGUCCGAUUAGCUUGUUGGUGAGGUAACGGCUCACCAAGGCGACGAUCGGUAGCUGGUCUGAGAGGAUGACCAGCCUCACUGGGACUGAGACACGGCCCAGACUCCUACGGGAGGCAGCAGUGGGGAAUAUUGGACAAUGGGCGCAAGCCUGAUCCAGCCAUGCCGCGUGGAUGAUGAAGGCCCUAGGG
rnacentral:rRNA from 1 species